rnacentral:rRNA from 1 species
UAGGGAAUCUUGCACAAUGGGCGAAAGCCUGAUGCAGCGACGCCGCGUGGGGGAAGAAGGCCCUCGGGUUGUAAACCCCUUUCGGCAGGGAAGAAGCGAAAGUGACGGUACCUGCAGAAGAAGCCCCGGCCAACUACGUGCCAGCAGCCGCGGUAAGACGUAGGGGGCGAGCGUUGUCCGGAUUUAUUGGGCGUAAAGAGCGCGUAGGCGGCUCGUUAAGUCGGGUGUGAAAACCCGGGGCUCAACCCCGGGCCUGCAUUCGAUACUGGCGGGCUAGAGGCAGACAGGGGAGAGUGGAAUUCCCGGUGUAGCGGUGAAAUGCGCAGAUAUCGGGAGGAACACCGGUGGCGAAGGCGGCUCUCUGGGUCUGUCCUGACGCUCAGGCGCGAAAGCUAGGGGAGCAAACAG